UACGUAGGGUGCAAGCGUUAAUCGGAAUUACUGGGCGUAAAGCGUGCGCAGGCGGUUGUGCAAGACAGAUGUGAAAUCCCCGGGCUCAACCUGGGAACUGCAUUUGUGACUGCACGGCUAGAGUGUGUCAGAGGGGGGUAGAAUUCCACGUGUAGCAGUGAAAUGCGUAGAUAUGUGGAGGAAUACCGAUGGCGAAGGCAGCCCCGUGGGAUAACACUGACGCUCAUGCACGAAAGCGUGGGGAGCAAACAGG
rnacentral:rRNA from 1 species